rnacentral:rRNA from 1 species
UACGUAGGGUGCAAGCGUUAAUCGGAAUACUGGGCGUAAAGCGUGCGCAGGCGGUGAUGUAAGACAGGUGUGAAAUCCCCGGCUUAACCUGGGAACUGCAUUUGUGACUGCAUCGCUGGAGUGCGGCAGAGGGGGAUGGAAUUCCGCGUGUAGCAGUGAAAUGCGUAGAUAUGCGGAGGAACACCGAUGGCGAAGGCAAUCCCCUGGGCCUGCACUGACGCUCAUGCACGAAAGCGUGGGGAGCGAAACAAG